AAAAGUUGUCCCAGAUUUGACAAAUUUGGCAACCUUGGCUGCCUGAGCCUUUGCAUCAAGUUUUUUUGUGGUGUCAGCUUUAGGAGCCAUUGCUGAAAACUGCCUUACAAAUCUUUUACUUGAGGGGAGGAGCGGAGUGUUGAGGGGAGGAGCUGAGUGUUGCUGAAGCGGCUCUGUGUUGAAAUUUGGGACUUGGAUUUGUUUUGUAAAGCUACCUCGAG
rnacentral:lncRNA from 1 species